rnacentral:rRNA from 1 species
UACAGAGGGGGCAAGCGUUGUUCGGAAUUACUGGGCGUAAAGGGCGCGUAGGCGGCCGCCUAAGUCAGACGUGAAAUUCCUCGGCUCAACCGGGGAACUGCGUCUGAUACUGGGUGGCUUGAAUCCGGGAGAGGGAUGCGGAAUUCCAGGUGUAGCGGUGAAAUGCGUAGAUAUCUGGAGGAACACCGGUGGCGAAGGCGGCAUCCUGGACCGGCAUUGACGCUGAGGCGCGAAAGCCAGGGGAGCAAACGGG